rfam:Candida tenuis ATCC 10573 unplaced genomic scaffold CANTEscaffold_00006, whole genome shotgun sequence.
GCCUGGCUAGCUCAAUCGGCUAGAGCGUGUGACUUUUAAUCACAAGGUUGCGGGUUCGAGUCCCGCGUCGGGCU